UAGAUAAAUAAGGUUGGAAUGGUAAUGUAGGCGGGGCAAGCGUGCCACAGUUAUGAUUGUACAAACAUAACUCGACCGAUUCUUUCAUUCACCGCGUUUAGUGCGCUUCGGACUACUUGGGCGAACAGAUCUCCGCUUUAUAGUGCCGUGUUGUGCAAUUAUAACUUGUAAAACAAAAAGUCAGACCUCAAGUAUAGAGCGAGGAGGUAUAUCUUUCGAUCGGUAAGUCGAAAUUACCAUUUAAUUACAAUAUUAUUUGUCUAAAACAUAAAAAUAUACUGAGCAUUAUGAAAUUCCAAACAUUAACAAUAUUAUUGCAGCAAGUUAUAAAUAGCAUACAUUGCGCGAUGUGUACUCGCCCAAUGAACGCAAUGACCAAGUCAGCUUCCAAUGUACUACAUGCAUUGCGUUCUCUACACUUCAAUCUUUGAAAUUUCGGCCUUUGCCCUGAUUGGCCGUGGUGCACGGCGCUAGUUUGUCGAUAGUGAGGUGACCAUGUGGUGAAAUAAAAUCAUCGACAGAAUUCUCGACUAUAUUUACAUUUGACAUGGAUAAUUUUUGCAUUAUUUUAUAUUUAAUUAAUGAUACCUAGUGUAUUCUUAGUGAGACGUAUUUUGAGUAAAAUAAAUAUGUAUUAUUAUUAUUGAAUUAUUAUCAUUGAAUUAAUGUGAAGGUAUAAUAUAAAGGGACAUGUAAACCUCUCAUUUACGGAUAUUUACUAUAUUGUCUAAGACGUAUUAAAAUCUAAGUAAAAUGCUAUUUGACUUAUGCAGUAAAUUAAAAAUUUUAGGUUUCCUAAAGAACCUAACGCCAAGGAACAAUGGAUUGACGUGACAGGUAGAGGAAACUGGAGACAAAGACGAGUACUAUUUGCUCAAAACAUUUUACUUUAAAUGAUUUUACCAUAAAAAAAAUCAGAAUACACUUAGUUUUGAAAAAUUCAUUCGCAAUUAAUAGCAAGCGCCAACUGCUUAACAAAUACGUUUUAUUCCAGGGACAGUGACUAUUUGUAAUUAAUAAAAGUAAAAUAGUUUUCUUUUUCAAUAUUUA